AACGAACGCUGGCGGCAUGCCUAACACAUGCAAGUCGAACGAGACCUUCGGGCCUAGUGGCGCACGGGUGCGUAACGCGUGGGAACCUGCCCUUAGGUUCGGAAUAACUCCCCGAAAGGGGUGCUAAUACCGGAUAAUGUCUUCGGACCAAAGAUUUAUCGCCUUUGGAUGGGCCCGCGUUGGAUUAGCUAGUUGGUAGGGUAAAAGCCUACCAAGGCGACGAUCCAUAGCUGGUCUGAGAGGAUGAUCAGCCACACUGGGACUGAGACACGGCCCAGACUCCUACGGGAGGCAGCAGUGGGGAAUAUUGGACAAUGGGCGAAAGCCUGAUACAGCAAUGCCGCGUGAGUGAUGAAGGCCUUAGGGUUGUAAAGCUCUUUUACCCGGGAUGAUAAUGACAGUACCGGGAGAAUAAGCUCCGGCUAACUACGUG
rnacentral:rRNA from 1 species